rnacentral:rRNA from 1 species
CGGAGGGUGCAAGCGUUACUCGGAAUCACUGGGCGUAAAGGGCGCGUAGGCGGAUUAUCAAGUCUCUUGUGAAAUCCAACGGCUUAACCGUUGAACUGCUUGGGAAACUGGUAGUCUAGAGUGAGGGAGAGGCAGAUGGAAUUGGUGGUGUAGGGGUAAAAUCCGUAGAUAUCACCAAGAAUACCCAUUGCGAAGGCGAUCUGCUGGAACUUAACUGACGCUAAGGCGCGAAAGCGUGGGGAGCAAACAGGAUUAGAUACCCUGGUAGUCCACGCCCUAAACGAUGUACACUAGUUGUUGGGGUGCUAGUCAUCUCAGUAAUGCAGCUAACGCAUUAAGUGUACCGCCUGGGGAGUACGGUCGCAAGAUUAAAACUCAAAGGAAUAGACGGGGACCCGCACAAGCGGUGGAGCAUGUGGUUUAAUUCGAAGAUACGCGAAGAACCUUACCUGGGCUUGAUAUCCUAAGAACCUCUUAGAGAUAAGAGGGUGCUAGCUUGCUAGAACUUAGAGACAGGUGCUGCACGGCUGUCGUCAGCUCGUGUCGUGAGAUGUUGGGUUAAGUCCCGCAACGAGCGCAACCCACGUAUUUAGUUGCUAACGGUUCGGCCGAGCACUCUAAAUAGACUGCCUUCGUAAGGAGGAGGAAGGUGUGGACGACGUCAAGUCAUCAUGGCCCUUAUGCCCAGGGCGACACACGUGCUACAAUGGCAUAUACAAUGAGACGCAAUACCGCGAGGUGGAGCAAAUCUAUAAAAUAUGUCCCAGUUCGGAUUGUUCUCUGCAACUCGAGAGCAUGAAGCCGGAAUCGCUAGUAAUCGUA